rnacentral:rRNA from 1 species
CGAAAGCCUGACGGAGCAACGCCGCGUGUGGGAAGAAGGCCUUUGGGCUGUCAACCACUUUUCUCAAGGAAGAAUUCAUGACGGUACUUGAGGAAUCAGCAUCGGCUAACUCCGUGCCAGCAGCCGCGGUAAGACGGAGGAUGCAAGCGUUAUCCGGAAUUAUUGGGCGUAAAGCGUCCGCAGGGGGCUCAUCAAGUCUGCUGUCAAAGGUCGGAGCUCAACUCCGGUUCGGCAGUGGAAACUGGUGGGCUAGAGGGCGACAGGGGUAGAGGGAAUUCCCAGUGUAGCGGUGAAAUGCGUAGAGAUUGGGAAGAACACCGGUGGCGAAAGCGCUCUACUGGGUCGCACCUGACCCUCAGGGACGAAAGCUAAGGUAGCG